GAAGCCCUUAUUGUACUUAUUAAUUGUCUGAGAUAGUCACUGCCAGCUGAAAAAGAAAUAUAGCUAAUGGGAGCAUUUGAAUUCUAUGGUUUCACCUUGAUUAUUCACCAGAGCAAAGAGUGAAAUUAUCCUGAGGGCUCUUGAGGAUUCCGAACUCUAGCAAAAGAUACAACUACAAGGGAAAAUGUGUCUACCAGGCAGAAAAUGUCACGCUAGAGAACUUCAGUCAAGAAGGCUCUUGUGCCACAGCUUCAGGUGAUGAUGAUAUAAGUGAUGGCAUUGGCUUUCUACAGUUGCUGGACCCGCACUAAAUCAAUCUGCAAUCCAUCCUAUCACAGCUUCAUGCCUAU